CUAAAUCCCUUAACGAGGAACAAUUGGAGGGCAAGUCUGGUGAACCGAUCAACAGUUCCAUUCUGCUGACGCCAGAUAGAGUGGGAUUCCUGUCGUUCUGACGGGGACCUACUAGUCGAGCACCUGAUCGUGAUAGGUGGGUGCCGGCAAGACAACCUGGAUCGGGGAACGCUGAAGCCAUACGCCUUUCGAGGUGUAAAGGUAUGCCAAUCCCGAGCAGAGCUCCCGGAGAGUGAUCUCUGGUGUGGCCUGUGUAGAGCGCGCAAAGGUGUCGGUCGCACUCAUGUGUUGAGGCGGCUUAAGGUACGUGCCAUUCCCUUUCGAAAGAUCGUCUUCAACCGGAGCACCUGUCAUGCAAAGGUUGGGGAGGGUGAUCCGUGGGGCGUCUUAUGCCUCUGGGUUGCCUGGUGCUCCUGCAGAAUUGCACUUAACUUGGGGGCUGCUCGUAAUAUGUUAGCGUUGAUGGGCCAAACAGGCAAUUGUUACCCAAGUUUUGGGCGAUUAAUCAUAUAAAUGGUUAAAUGGUAAUUGCGGCCCACGCUAACAUUCGAGUGGUUAAAAAAAUGCAGGCGCCACCGACUGGGAAUCGAACCCCAGCACUUUGGUGUACUACAGGCCCCACAGGCGCAGCUUGGGUGUGCCAGAUACCCCUAAGGUGCAAUUCAGCAGGGCUCAAUAGGCCAGCAGCCGCGGUAAUUCCAGCUCCAAUAGCGUAUAUUAAAGUUGUUGCCGUUAAAAAGCUCGUAGUUGAACCUUGGGCCGGGCUGACCUGUCCUCCUAAUCGAGCGCACGGGUUCGGUCUGGCCUUUCCUUCUGGGGAACCCCAUGUCCUUCACUGGGUGUGGUGGGGAAC
rnacentral:rRNA from 1 species